GAGAUUUCAGACGACGUGGCGGUAUUUACCCAGGAGUUUUUGUUGAUUUCGUGCUCGAGGAUUAGGUGAAAAUCGGAGAUUGAGGUGUGAUUAGGGUUUUGGAGCUGUUGAAGAAUCUGAGCCGUCGAUGAGAGAUCAAACGGCUGGAUUUGAAGGUGAGAAGUGGAGGGAAUGAUGUAAGAGUAGGAGUUAGUUGUGGGUUCGUAGUGGAGCUUAGAUUUGAGGAUAGGAUUGGAAUUUUGGAGUUUGUGGAGGGCAUUUUGGAGAAGUGAAGUGUCAGGUGAUUUUGAUAAGAGGAGAGCUAAAACUGUUAUCCCUGUGCCACUGGGAACCGCCUUGCACCAGCUGUGCUCGGUGUUACCCGCCGGCCGG
rnacentral:lncRNA from 1 species